GACGAACGCUGGCGGCGUGCUUAACACAUGCAAGUCGAACGGAAAGGCCCUUCGGGGUACUCGAGUGGCGAACGGGUGAGUAACACGUGGGUGAUCUGCCCUGCACUUUGGGAUAAGCCUGGGAAACUGGGUCUAAUACCGAAUAUGAUCAUCGGCUUCAUGGUCGGUGGUGGAAAGCUUUUGCGGUGUGGGAUGGGCCCGCGGCCUAUCAGCUUGUUGGUGGGGUAAUGGCCUACCAAGGCGACGACGGGUAGCCAGCCUGAGAGGGUGACCGGCCACACUGGGACUGAGAUACGGCCCAGACUCCUACGGGAGGCAGCAGUGGGGAAUAUUGCACAAUGGGCGCAAGCCUGAUGCAGCGACGCCGCGUGAGGGAUGACGGCCUUCGGGUUGUAAACCUCUUUCAGCACAGACGAAGCGCAAGUGACGGUAUGUGCAGAAGAAGGACCGGCCAACUACGUG
rnacentral:rRNA from 1 species